rnacentral:tRNA from 1 species
GGAGAGGUGGCAGAGUGGUUGAAUGCGCCGGUCUCGAAAACCGGUAUGCCUGCAAGGGUAUCGAGAGUUCGAAUCUCUCUCUCUCCGCCA